GAGACAUUGUAGUGAGGCAAGAAUUCAUGAAUUACUGUUGUAACAUUGACUGGCUGUCUUCAUAUGAAAUGGGAAAAAGAUGUGCUCUUUACCGGAUGUUGCCAAAGGACGUAACAACAAAAGGUUGUCAGACAUGGGCCACUGCCGAGAAACACCAUCCAACGUCUAGCCUAAAAUCACCAGGGCUGAACACAGGAGCCCCCGGGGCAGCUGAAAGCACCUGCUAAGCAACGGAUGCUUCUAGACAAAGGCACCUCUGUCCAGCCUCACAACAGUGGCCAGGCCCUUUCCUCCAGCUCGUCCAGCCCCGAGCUACCUUUAAGUGAAUGAUUUUGGACUGGCCAAUUCUUCAGCGUACCUUGAAAUGCUGGGAUAGGCUCCAGCAUCUCUGCGACCCUGCGGAGGAUAAAGAGGUUUGGAGAAUGGAUGGAUGGAUUUAUAUUUUUCUGUCAAGCAGGGCAGUGAGAAUUGAGCA